rnacentral:rRNA from 1 species
CCUACGGGAGGCAGCAGUGGGGAAUAUUGCACAAUGGGCGCAAGCCUGAUGCAGCGACGCCGCGUGAGCGAUGAAGGCCUUCGGGUCGUAAAGCUCUGUCCUAAGGGAAGAAUAAUGACGGUACCUUAGGCGGAAGCCCCGGCUAACUACGUGCCAGCAGCCGAGGUAAUACGUAGGGGGCGAGCGUUGUCCGGAAUCACUGGGCGUAAAGGGUGCGUAGGCGGCUUUAUAAGUCAGGUGUGAAAGGCUUCGGCUCAACCGAAGUGGGCACGUGAAACUGUAGGGCUUGAGUGAAGGAGAGGAGAGCGGAAUGCCUAGUGUAGCGGUGAAAUGCGUAGAUAGUAGGAGGAACACCAGUGGCGAAGGCGGCGCUCUGGACUGUAACUGACGCUGAGGCACGAAAGCGUGGGGAGCAAACAGGAUUAGAUACCCUAGUAGUC